UUCUACAUGCAUAUGGAGACCUUCACAAGC
rnacentral:piRNA from 1 species